CGCGCACAUACUGUUACAUACACAACGAAGCACACACUCAUACACACAGUGCCAGACCAUGUGACUCUUCUGUGACUUUGUGUUGUCUGAUUGGCCGAUGGGGUGGCGUGUUAAAUGACGAGUUUCUGCCCUCAGACGUGACGAGUCCAGGUGAACGCGGCGGCAAGUCGAUAACAGCUCUGUAGGUGCUGUUGGAUUAAAAAUGAAGGAGGCCUGGGGGUCCAGGCACAGCUGUCAGAACAUUGCUCAGGUUUUGCAUCAGGAUUGUCAGCCUCUGACGUUCGCUGUUUCUCAGAACACUGGCAGAUACUGACCAUCAGUUGGUCAUCGUUUGACGUCCUGGUCCUGGCAUCAGAUGACCACAAGGGGCCGCCACCAACACAGGACAGGAUGACUGGGGUUGUACUGAGUUACUUAUUUCUUGUAUUCUCUCCCACUUUUUAUAUUGUGUUCUGUUCCUUUUCUCAUUUUGUCCAUGUUAUUUUAUGUUUAUUCAGAGCUAAAAGAGCAUUUCUGUUUACUUGCAGCUCCUUCCUUCAUGAAGUGUGACACCCAUCACAUCAUUUCACAAUGAAUGUGGGAGCAGAUUUCACCU
rnacentral:lncRNA from 1 species